GACAGAAGAUGGCGGAUGAGCAGCGUGCAGGGUUUUCUCCCUGUGGCUCACUCUCUCUUACUGUGCUGGGCGGUUGCUUCCUCUCCUGCUGCCCUUGGGAGUCAGACUCCAGGUUCUUCAGCCUGUGGCCCCUGGGGCUCUCGGGCCUUGGAGGACUGACUAGGAGCACACGGUGGGCCUCUCUGGUUUGGGGGCCUGGGACGUGGCGGAGCCCUGCAGCUUCUGUGCGGCCUGUUCUGGGCGUCGCGUUGAAACGCCAGCCAGUUCCCCAAGUAAGCUCCCUGCACACACGCCUGAUAGCCUGUUGGUUCCGUCCUUCUGCGGGAUUUUCACUACCACUCUCUAACUCACACACAGCAGAAAGAGCAUACGGGAGAGAUGAAGCAGUCCACUCCAAGAACAUUCUCAUCCUACGGAUUACGAGUCCCCCUGGGAUUACAGGAGUGUUGAAGAAAUGUUGUGACACAUCAGAACACCGCGAAAUACAUGGACACUUUCAAAUCAUGGAAGACUCAAGGACAAAGAAGACAGAAAAUACUACACACUACCCAGAGAUUGAAACUGAAGGUGUGAACAACAGAGAAAAGAGAGGGCAAAGAAAAGGAAAACAAAGAAGACGUGGGAUAUGAAAGGUGUAUGCCAUGUGUGGACAUCAAGAAAUGUUUCAGCUCGCACUUCUGCCACCAAUUGAGCCUGGAACCUCACUACUUGGAGUUGGGGGGAGGGCAGUGCUCAUUCAUCACCUGUGAAAAUAGGGAUUGAGAGUUCCCUAACUUUGCCAUUUUUCCUCAAGCACUGGCAUUGGUCUUCUGAAUGUCAGGCUCUGUAUAAGUGAGUCCUCAGCUGAGCCACAGGCUCUGCAUUCCUGGCAGUCCACACACUUCAUAUCCUUUGUUUAUGCUGCUCAUUUUGGAAUUCAAACAGGUUGGUGGGGCACAUUUCAACAGAUAAUGACACACACUGACUGCUCAUGAGCUAUUUUAUGGUGUGAGAAUGUUGUGAUGUUAUGAAAUGCGGAGGCAUUAAAACAUGGGGACAUUUUCUAGAAGAUCCUUAGCAGAGAGUACAGAAGACUAAGGUCCAAAUCUCUGAAAUGAUGUUUUCCAAAUUAUUGCACAGCUAUGUCAAAGUACCUUGAUCCAGUUAAUGUUAACAAAUAAAAAAUUAUGAAAUGUUAUUUUCUAGGUAUGGAUAGUAGUGGAUAGUAGUAGAUCUGUUGUGUAGUGGAGAUUACUUAGGAAGAAUAAAUUUCAACUUUACCAAGAAAGUACUACAUUAAUUGCAUUAGGGAAUUGUGAAUUGCAUUAGGAAAAUGCUCAUUCUUCUUUCAAUAGCCAAUAUCUGGAUACUAUACUCUCUUGAAUUUCUAAGAUUUGCAUCCAAUAUUCUAUAAUUAGCUUUCCAGUUUAUUGAAUGAUUUAAUUUACAUACAAAUAUUUUCUAAUAUAUUCCCUGUAAAAUAGUUUAAAAAAUUAAACGUUUCUCUAA
rnacentral:lncRNA from 1 species